UACGUAGGGUGCGAGCGUUGUCCGGAAUUAUUGGGCGUAAAGGGCUCGUAGGCGGUUUGUCGCGUCGGGAGUGAAAACUCAGGGCUUAACCCUGAGCCUGCUUCCGAUACGGGCAGACUAGAGGUAUGCAGGGGAGAACGGAAUUCCUGGUGUAGCGGUGAAAUGCGCAGAUAUCAGGAGGAACACCGAUGGCGAAGGCAGUUCUCUGGGCCGUAACUGACGCUGAGGAGCGAAAGCGUGGGGAGCGAACAGG
rnacentral:rRNA from 1 species